rnacentral:lncRNA from 1 species
UCUAUUCCUGGGUGCUGGGAGCCUGAUACACUGUGGGAAGUCUUAUUAAGCUUUAUUCAGUUGACCAAAUAAAUAAAUUUUGUUUUCCUUACAAGAACCAAUUAGUUAAAGAAAUACAUGUUUUUAGACUCUGAAUGAAAUGGCUUUGAUAUGAUCAGAUAUUUUUUCUGAUGUGAAUCCUUUCUUUUCUCUUUAUGCAUCUUUUGAAAUGAUUUUAUGAUGGCUAGCAUUCUCUUGAAGAAGUUUUCCCUUACAGUGGUCUCUUUGAAGAGGUUGUAGAAUGGUUUCUUGGUUAUUAGCUUAACAUCAUAUUGCAAAAUUGUUGUGCUGUACACGUGAAUUGACCUCUAAAAAAUUAUCUCCCCAUUAGUCUAUCAAAGAUCUUCUAUCUUGUGAGUUGGUACAAGGUAUUUCCUACAGCCAGUGAGUUGUAGCAUGGAGGGUUUGAAACAUGAUAUCUAAACUCACAACUUAUGUAUGAAGAGCUCAGUUGCAUAAGAGUGCGUUUGGUAUUGAUUGUAGAAAAUGUUUUUAACCUUUCCCCAACACUUGAAUGAUAACAAAUUUCAAGUUUUAAAAAGACUAAAAACAUUUCC